AUUGAAUGCUGGCGGCAGGCCUAACACAUGCAAGUCGAGCGGCAGCGGAAAGUAGCUUGCUACUUUGCCGGCGAGCGGCGGACGGGUGAGUAAUGUCUGGGAAACUGCCUGAUGGAGGGGGAUAACUACUGGAAACGGUAGCUAAUACCGCAUAACGUCGCAAGACCAGAGAGGGGGACCUUCGGGCCUCUUGCCAUCAGAUGUGCCCAGAUGGGAUUAGCUAGUGGGUGGGGUAAUGGCUCACCUAGGCGACGAUCCCUAGCUGGUCUGAGAGGAUGACAGGCAACACUGGAACUGAGACACGGUCCAGACUCCUACGGGAGGCAGCAGUGGGGAAUAUUGCACAAUGGGCGCAAGCCUGAUGCAGCCAUGCCGCGUGUAUGAAGAAGGCCUUCGGGUUGUAAAGUACUUUCAGCGGGGAGGAAGGUGUUGAGGUUAAUAACCUCAGCAAUUGACGUUACCCGCAGAAGAAGCACCGGCUAACUCCGUGCCAGCAGCCGCCGUAA
rnacentral:rRNA from 1 species